rnacentral:misc_RNA from 1 species
GAUGAAGAACGUAGUGAAAUGCGAUAAGUAAUGUGAAUUGCAGAAUUCAGUGAAUCAUCGAAUCUUUGAACGCACCUUGCGCCCUUUGGACAUUCCGAAGGGCAUGCCUGUUUGAGUAUCAUGAACACCUCAACUCUCACGGCUUGUCCGUGAUGAGCUUGGACUUUGGGGGUCUUGCCGGCCUGUGGUCGGCUCCUCUCAAAUGGAUCAGCUUGCCGGUGUUUGGUGGCAUCACAGGUGUGAUAACUAUCUGCGCUUGUGGUUUUCCAUCAGAUAACCUUCAGUGAUAUGGAGGUUCGCUGGAGCUCACAAAUGUCUCUCCUUAGUGAGGACAGCUCUUUGAACGUUUGAUCUCAAAUCAGGUAGGACUACCCGCUGAACUUAAGCAUAUCAAUAAGCGGAGGA